AAGCUCGGAACGCAUGUCUGGUACUGAUGCUGCCCAGCAAUGGGAUGUGCUCGUCUGGAUGUGUGUCCCUUCUCUAUUCCACCCCACUGUGAACCAAGCGUUGUGAGCCGAAGAGAGAUCGGAGGCUUGCGCGCAACACUUAUCAUACCCCAUGCGAAGUAACAGAAUGUACCUUGCGUUAAUUCGCACAAAUAUAACUUUCAACAACGGAUCUCUUGGCUCUCGCAUCGAUGAAGAACGCAGCGAAAUGCGAUAAGUAAUGUGAAUUGCAGAAUUCAGUGAAUCAUCGAAUCUUUGAACGCACCUUGCGCCCCUUGGCAUUCCGAGGGGCACGCCUGUUUGAGUGUCGUGAACUCCUCCACCCUCUACCUUUUUCGAAGGGCAUUGGGCUGGGAUUUGGGAGCUUUGCGGGUCCCUGGCCGAUCCGCUCUCCUUGAAUGCAUUAGCGAAGCCCUCGCGGCCUUGGUGUGAUAGUCAUCUACGCCUCGGCUUAGCGAACAUGUGGGAGUCGCUUCUAACCGUCUCGCAAGGGACAACACAUACCAACUUGACCUCAAAUCAGGCGGGACUACCCGCUGAACUUAAGCAUAUCAAUAAGCGGAGGAAAAGAAACUAACAAGGAUUCCCCUAGUAACUGCGAGUGAAGCGGGAAGAGCUCAAAUUUAAAAUCUGGCGUCUUCGGCGUCCGAGUUGUAAUUUAGAGAAGCGUUUUCCGCGCUGGACCGUGUACAAGUCUCCUGGAACGGAGCGUCAUAGAG
rnacentral:rRNA from 1 species